rnacentral:lncRNA from 1 species
CUUCCUACCGAAGAACCCGCAGAGGUCCCAGAUCCAUGGGAAGCCCAGGUCGUAGGAAGUGCUUCCUUGCACCUGCUGAGCCCGGCCAAACCUCCCCUAACUUAAGCAGCCCCGAGCGCAGAAGGACAUGCCCCACGUUAAUCCCCAGGGUGUUGAAGAGGGAUUCCAGAGGAAGAAGAGCUCCCUGUCCUUGAGGGGGAGGAAGAGCAGGUGCAGGGGAAUGGGCUGCUGGGUGACGCUGUUUAUCAGCCCCAGAUUCUGUCUGCCACCACCCAGUGGGGGCUGCUCUCCAGCAGGGGGCCAGGGCCACAGGGAGGCCUCAGCCAGCACC